AUGGUCAAUUCUCGUCCAUUAGAAGAAAAAAUUGAAGCGAUUUUUAUUUACGGUGCGACGCGUAACUUUCAUGAAGCCGCAAGGAUUUUCAACGAUCGUUUCCCGAAUCGUCCUAUUUGUAGAAAAUAUUUACGGGAACUCGUAUCUAAAUUUACAACUACGGGUAGUGUAAACAACAAAAAGCCCCCAGGACGUCCGUCCAUUUCGGAAGAAAAGCAAGUUCAAAUAAUUGGUUAAAUGAUAGUUAAUCCCCAACAAUCAAAUUCCUCCGUCGCGAAUGAACAUGGGGUAUGUCCUUCUACUGUAUGGAGACAUGGAGAAAAGGAAUAAGUAUCAUCCGUACAAAAUCCAAAUUGUACACCAGUUAACUGAAGAUGACCCUGAUCGAAUAACAUUCUGUGAAACUAUAACAGAAACCCUUGCACGGCAUCCAUAUCUAUAUCUCCAUAAUAUUUGUUAUAGUGAUGAAUGUUCAUUUUUUCUCAACGGUAAUGUUCAUAGACAAACUUGUGGGUAUUGAAUUGACACUAAUCGUCAUGUCUUCCGAGAAACUCAUACUCAAUAUCAAGAAAAAAUAAACGUUUGGGCAGGGAUAUUAAGAAACCAUAUUGUAGGGCCUCUAUUCGUCGAACAAAAUUUAACAGGGGAACUGUAUUUGGAUAUGCUAAAAAAUACUACUGACCCUCUAAUUAUCGAAAUUGUCGAAACAAAUGCCAACGAAUUCGAUAUGGAUAUUGUAUUCCAGCAAGAUGGAGCUCCACCACACUACCCCAGACAAGUUCGGAACUCGUAUUUAGAUUAGAUUAAUCGUAAUUUCCCCGGUCGUUGGAUUGGCCGUCGAGGACCUGUGGAAUGGCCAGCUUGCUCGCCAGAUUUGACACCUAUAAACUUUUUUUAUGGUGCUAUUUGAAGCAAAAGGUGCACGAAACUGAACCUGCUUUAGUAUUGGAUUUACGACAGAUAAUAACGAAUAUUUGUAGAAAUAUCAAUGUUAGUGUAUUUGAAAAAUUUCGGUGUGAAAUUUCGGACCGACUGUUCUUGUGUAAAGAAGUUCAAGGCAACCAUUUGCAGGCGCCUAUAUAUAAAUAUAUAAAUAUAUAUACCUUUUUUUAUAGAAGUUUAGGAAAAUCAGCUUAACAGACAACCCGGUCUUCUGGCGUUCGGGGCUCUGUUUCCUAGUGAUUGUCUUCUUUGUCCUUUGUUUUUAAUAGAUUGUAGCUGUUCUCCUGUUAUAGCUCUGAUUCUAGUCUUUUUGCUGUCCACCUUUCGUACUUAAAGACGGCAUGAUCUGGAGUGUCUUUUUCUUAGCAGUAAUUGUCGCUGUCUAUUUUCCCGAAGCGUUUCAGGUAUGUCCUAAAAUAGCUGGGUUAUACAGUGAAUACGCGCAAGUUGGAACAAAUUCAUUUAAAGUUCAGGGGUGCGUUCGAAAAAAACGCUCGGACAUGUUAAUUUUUAUUUUUAUCGUGAUGUUUUUCUUGAUGAAUUCAUGUAUACAGGGUGGACAAAAAAUGAACUACGAGUAUCAACUUAAUUGUUUUUAAAUAGAAACACCUAUUUUUUAUUUAAUUUUUUAAUUCUGUAUAAAAUUUUAAGUAUAUUUUGUAUACCAUAUCCUAUACCUAACCUCAAUAUUAAUUAAGAAACUUGCGAUUAAUUUUUUUAUAAAUAACCAUGAAUUUUUGGAACAGUUUAUAAAAAAAAACGAAACAAAAAAAUUAAAAUGUUCAAAUUGUUGACCAUUAACUUCCUGACAGUAACCAAGUCGAUAUUCAAAUUCUUGUAAUACUUUACUUACUGUUUGAGACCGGAUAUGUUCUAUUUUAGCUCUAAUUCUAUUUUUUAAUUCUUCUAAACUUUCAGGUUUACCAAAUAAACUUUAUAUUUUAGAUAACCCCAUAGAUAAAAGUCCAAUGGUGGUUAAUCCGGCGAAUAAUGCUGGCCAUUCAAUAAAACCCCUCUUCCAAUCCAUAUAUUUGGGAAAAUGUUGGUAAGGUAAUCUCGUACUGUUGGCGAAUAGUGUCGGGGGAGGCGCCAUCCUGUUGGAACCAUAUCGAAUCUGCCGAUAGAAAUGGGUUUUCACCAUUUGGAUAAACUGCAUUUAAACUAGGUACUAUCUGAUUUUGAAGCAACUCUAAACUUUUUUCAGAGGUAAGUGCGCCCUCAAUAAAAUAGGUACCCACAAUUGACGUGCCCACAAUUCCGGCCCAUAUGUUUAACUUCUUAGGAAAUUGUGUGUGACUUUCCAUACUCUAGUAUGGAUUUGGUUCUGGUGCCCAUAACGAAAAUUUUGCCUAUUUACAUAACCAUUAAAAAAAAACUUGCCUUGUUGGAAAAACAAUCUUACUUAAAAAUUGUGGGUUUUUAUUACAUUUAUUCAUCAUUAUUUUGUAAAACUCUAUUUUGCGGAUGUGAUCAUUUUCAAUAAGCUCCUGAAGUAAAUGAAUUUUAUAUGGAUGUCAUUCAUUCCCACGCAAAUAUUUUAGAACACAUGAUUUACUAACCGAUUGAUCAGCAGCAACUUGUCGAGUUGACUUAUGUGGAUUUUCUUGUAGAUCGAGCAAUAUAUCUAAUUGUCUGUUUUCUGGAAGCGUAGGUCUAGGUCAUAUUUGUCUCUAACAUGACCAAAAUCUCGAAACUUUUUUUUAAUUUUGCUUACUACCGAACGUGUAAUAGGCCUCUCCGAGUACUUAUUGUUAAACAGAUCGCAAACUUCGGCCUGUGUUCGAGCUUAUCGUUAUAUCCUAUCAUCAUCAAAAUUUCAAUUCUUUGUUUUUUAGUUAAAUGCGCCAUACUUUUAAACUUUGCAACUGCACUUGACACCUACUGACAUUCACGUAAAAUAAUAUAUACUAUUUCCAUGCGAUUAAAUGGUGACAAGGUGUCAACAAUCAAAUAUACCUGUUACCAGUUAAAAAACUAUGAAAAAACAUGUUUGAAUAUGCUGAAAUGACCCAAACAGUUGCAAAUUUAUUAAUAAUGUUAGUAUUAGGUAUAAGACACGGUAAACAAAAUAUACUUAAAAUUCUAUGCAGAAUUCAAAAAUGGAAAAAAGAAUUUAGGUAUUUCAAUUUAAAAACUUGAAGUUGAUGAUCGUUGCUUAUUUUUGGUUCACCCUAUAUACAUGAAUUCAUCAUCAAAAAAAUCACUUUGAUCCAACUUGCGCGUCCUCACUGUAUAAUAUUCAACUUCCCCAUGUCUCCUUUCGAUCCAGACCCUAAUGUUUGGUAUUAAUUUUUUUUGUCAAAGUAGCAUUUUCAGAUCGGUCUCAUCUCUGUUGCCAGAUGGCUAUUUUUUCCAUUCGCACCAGCGAAGGUGAGCCUUCCGUGUUUAGGAUUUGCGCUCUUUCCUGUACCAUGAGGUCGAUGGGUAAGAGCACAGAUGUAAAUAGCUCCGCAUGGAGUGCUCCGUGUCGUGAAUGAUGCGAACGCAGUGCCAGAAAUUAGACAUACUGUCGCCACUGUAAAGGAUAUUAUAACGUUUUUCAGAGAAUCGACUACGCUUCAAACCAGAAAUUAUGCCACCAGAAAAUCUGCAUAUCAGUUGCAUUCAGCCGUUACAAAACCAGUGUUUAUUAUUGCUCUACAAACAAAUGCCAAAUAUUUAGCAGUUUUAGAAUCAGUACUUAGCGCACUGCGAGCUAAAUCGAUCGACAUAAUCUCGGUGAGGGAACACAUCAAAAUUAUCAAGGACAUUCUCCGAAAUGACCGCGAGUUUCCUGAUAGAAUAAGUAAUGAAAUGCUUUAAAAAGCGUGAGCUGUUGCAAUGGAUUUGAACAUAGAAAUUUCGAUUCCACGUCUUGCUCACAAGCAAACACAUAGAAGUAAUCCGCCAUCAAUGAUAACGAAUAUUGGCGGCGUUCCCUCAUAAUACCAUACAUUGAUUUACUCAUUUCAUCAAUGAAUAUUCGAUUCUUCCAAGAAAAUAUUCCGGCGUUUGCUUUAAGCAAGCUACAUCCCUUGUAUAUGACCAAGACCAAAACCCGCGUUAUAGACGUACACAAGAACGCAGAAUCAUUCCAAGAAUUUUAUAACCUGGAUAUCACAGAACUGAACCUUUUGCAUAAUUUAUGGGUGAAGAAGGCUUUAUCAGAUGAUCAAUAAAGGGGCAUAGAAGUAGUUGAUCUGUUCAACGAAGCCAACAUUUUUUACCCUGCUGUCAGAAAGGCAUUGAUUAUUUUAAGCACUAUCCCAUGCACCACGGCGACCGUAGAACGGUCCUUCAGUACGCUGCGAAGAGUUAAAACGUGGCUUAGAAUGGGUGAAGAAAGGCUUACAGGUUUAUGUCUGAUGAGCAUACAUCGCAAUUAUUUAAAAGAAAGCAGUGAGUUUAUUGAAAAGACUCAUAGACAAAUUAUCGGCAAAUCCGAGAAGAUUACUGUUAAAUUAAUAUACAUAUGUAUUAUGAUUAUUAUAUAUAUAAUCUUUUGUUUUGUGUCAAUCAAACUAAUUAAUAAAACUUAAUUUUCA
rnacentral:lncRNA from 1 species